rnacentral:lncRNA from 1 species
GGCUGUUUAGGAUCAUUUUUUCUUUUUUACUGGUGUUUAUUUUAUUGGGAUUUUACUCGACUCUUAGAUAGCGUCUAUGUGUUGUUAAAGAUUUUUUUCGUACAUUUUCAUUUUUAUUGAAUUUUUUUUUACGCAAGAUGUAUUUGAAUAUAAUCAAUUAUGCAACACGCAUACAGGCGGGGGAUCUCACCACUACCUAACGGUGGGAAAACAUCACCGCAUGCAGGCGAAAAACGCCUUGCUUGUGGGAUUUCAAUACCAAAUAAUACAAUAAUGCAAAUAUAAC